GACGAACGCUGGCGGCGUGCCUAAUACAUGCAAGUAGAACGCUGAAGAGAGGAGCUUGCUCUUCUUGGAUGAGUUGCGCACGGGUGAGUAACGCGUAGGUAACCUGCCUUGUAGCGGGGGAUAACUAUUGGAAACGGUAGCUAAUACCGCAUAACAAUGGAUGACCCAUGUCAUUUAUUUGAAAGGGGCAAAUGCUCCACUACAAGAUGGACCUGCGUUGUAUUAGCUAGUGGGUGAGGUAACGGCUCACCUAGGCGACGAUACAUAGCCGACCUGAGAGGGUGAUCGGCCACACUGGGACUGAGACACGGCCCAGACGCCUACGGGAGGCAGCAGUAGGGAAGCUUCGGCAAUGGGGGCAACCCUGACCGAGCAACGCCGCGUGAGUGAAGAAGGGUUUCGGAUCGUAAAGCUCUGUUGUAAGUCAAGAACGAGUGUGAGAGUGGAAAGUUCACACUGUGACGGUAGCUUACCAGAAAGGGACGGCUAACUACGUG
rnacentral:rRNA from 1 species